CCUACGGGGGGCAGCAGUGAGGAAUAUUGGGCAAUGGGCGAGAGCCUGAACCAGUCAAGUCGCGUGAAGGAUGACGGCCCUACGGGUUGUAAACUUCUUUUGUCAGGGAGCAAUUGAGUCCACGUGUGGGCUUAGCGAGAGUACCUGAAGAAAAAGCAUCGGCUAACUCCGUGCCAGCAGCCGCGGUAAUACGGAGGAUGCGAGCGUUAGCCGGUUUUAUUGGGUUUAAAGGGUGCGUAGGCGGAAUAUCAAGUCAGCGGUAAAAAUUCGGGGCUCAACCCCGUCGUGCCGUUGAAACUGAUGUUCUGGAGUGGGCGAGAAGUAUGCGGAAUGCGUGGUGUAGCGGUGAAAUGCAUAGAUAUCACGCAGAACUCCGAUUGCGAAGGCAGCAUACCGGCGCCCAACUGACGCUGAAGCUCGAAAGCGUGGGUAUCGAACAGGAUUAGAUACCCUAGUAGUC
rnacentral:rRNA from 1 species